UCGCCAUGACCAAAAACGAAACGGCGUGGCUCCAUCUCUUCGGUCAAUCUUUCUCGAGUUAUUCGAUCUCGCUUCCUCGAUCAUUCAGCUUCUCCGGUGGAGCUCUCGUUUCAAGUUCUCACUCCCUCCGUUCUCGAUUUCUCCGAUGUGCUACUCCGAUGAUGCUCGGAACAUGUUAAGAGUGACAGGAAGUUCAGAGAAAUAUUAGGUACGCGCUGAAUCUUCUUCUCACCUCUCCGUCCCUUUCAUGAGCCUCUGAUACGUGAACGUAACGCAGUUUGUUAUCGUCGUGCGGUGCGAGGUCGUUGAUUUGUUGAUGCCGAAGGUGUAUUGCGAGAGGCGAAGUUCAGGUUGGUGAUCGGUGAUGAUUGGAAUUGAUGAAGAUUGAAGAUGAAUGAUGAUUGUAUGAUUAUGAAGAUUGAAGGAUGAAGGAGCGUGUGGAGGAUUUCAGAAGUGAAGAUAAUGAACGGAUUCGAUGACUUCGUUCAUUCUUGCCAAUUGUUUUCUGAAGCCCCUGUGAAGAUGAUGAUUCAGAGUUUGUUAUAGAUGAAGAAGGUUGAGAUCAAUGGAGUGAGUUUCUGAAUUCAGAAGAGAGAUGAAGAGAGAGAUUGAGUUUUCUGUUAGAAAGUUUGUUACGUUCUUGAAAUCGUGAAGAUAAUUGAUGGUGAAUCCAAAAGUUUGUUACGUGUUGAGAUUGAAGUGAAGGAGGUCCAGAGCAAGAGAGAUUGAAGGCGGUUUAGACUUGAAGCCAUUUGGCUUUUGGAUAUGUAGUUGGGAGUUAUAGAAGCAUGACCUCGGCUUAGAAAAUUCAGAACAAGUUUAUGGUUUCUUUUUUUUUUUGUUGUAAUUUUGUAAUGGGCUG